AACCAGCGCAGACUGGCGCGCCCCAGGGAUCUCUGGGCGAGUAUCUCUUUGAGCGCCUCACUCUCAAGCACGACUAGGAGG
rnacentral:pre_miRNA from 7 species